rnacentral:rRNA from 1 species
GAUGAACGCUGGCGGCGUGCCUAAUACAUGCAAGUCGAACGCUGGAAAUCUAGCUUGCUAGAUUGAAGGAGUGGCGAACGGGUGAGUAAUACAUAAGCAACCUACCCACGAAGACUGGGAUAAUCUCUGGAAACGGGGACUAAUACCGGAUAGGUAAUCGGAAGGCAUCUUCUGAUUAUUAAAGGUUAAAAACACUGGUGGAUGGGCUUAUGGCGCAUUAGUUAGUUGGUGAGGUAACGGCCCACCAAGACGAUGAUGCGUAGCCGGCCUGAGAGGGUGAACGGCCACAUUGGGACUGAGACACGGCCCAGACUCCUACGGGAGGCAGCAGUAGGGAAUGUUCGGCAAUGGGGGAAACCCUGACCGAGCAACGCCGCGUGAGUGAUGACGGCCUUCGGGUUGUAAAGCUCUGUUGUAAGGGAAGAACGGUAGAUAGAGAAUAUCUAAAUGACGGUACCUUACCAGAAAGCCACGGCUAACUACGU